rnacentral:rRNA from 1 species
UACGUAGGGGGCGAGCGUUGUCCGGAAUCAUUGGGCGUAAAGCGCGUGUAGGCGGCUUGGUAAGUCCGGUGUGAAACCUUGGGGCUCAACCCCAAGCCUGCACUGGAUACUGCCUCGCUUGAGUCCGGGAGGGGAGAGCGGAAUCCUAGUGUAGCGGUGAAAUGCGCAGAUAUCAGGAAGAACACCCGUGGCUAAGGCGGCUCUCUAGUACGGUACUGACGCUGAGGAGCGAAAGCGUGGGGAGCGAACAGG